UCCUAGAUCGUCUAGUGGUCAAGAUCCGGCCUUUCACGGCCGUGACCGGGGUUCAAUUCCCCGUCUGGGAG
rnacentral:tRNA from 1 species